UACGUAGGGUGCAAGCGUUAUCCGGAAUUAUUGGGCGUAAAGAGCUCGUAGGCGGUUUGUCGCGUCUGCCGUGAAAGUCCGGGGCUCAACUCCGGAUCUGCGGUGGGUACGGGCAGACUAGAGUGAUGUAGGGGAGACUGGAAUUCCUGGGUGUAGCGGUGAAAUGCGCAGAUAUCAGGAGGAACACCGGUGGCGAAGGCGGGUCUCUGGGCCGAUACUGACGCUGAGGAGCGAAAGCGUGGGGGAGCGAACAGG
rnacentral:rRNA from 1 species